UGGGGAAUAUUGCACAAUGGGCGCAAGCCUGAUGCAGCCAUGCCGCGUGUAUGAAGAAGGCCUUCGGGUUGUAAAGUACUUUCAGCGGGGAGGAAGGGAGUAAAGUUAAUACCUUUGCUCAUUGACGUUACCCGCAGAAGAAGCACCGGCUAACUCCGUGCCAGCAGCCGCGGUAAUACGGAGGGUGCAAGCGUUAAUCGGAAUUACUGGGCGUAAAGCGCACGCAGGCGGUUUGUUAAGUCAGAUGUGAAAUCCCCGGGCUCAACCUGGGAAAUGCAUCUGAUACUGGCAAGCUUGAGUCUCGUAGAGGGGGGUAGAAUUCCAGGUGUAGCGGUGAAAUGCGUAGAGAUCUGGAGGAAUACCGGUGGCGAAGGCGGCCCCCUGGACGAAGACUGGCGCUCGGGUGCGAAAGCGUGGGGAGCAAACAGG
rnacentral:rRNA from 1 species